rnacentral:misc_RNA from 1 species
GGAAUAAAAGUCGUACAAGGUUUCCGUAGGUGAACCUGCGGAAGGAUCAUUAUUGUAUAACCGAGGUGCGAGGGCUGUCGCUGACCCGAAAGGUCGUGCACGCCCGAGUGCCCUCACACACAUCCAUCUCACCCCUAUGUGCACCACCGCGUGGGUCCCCCUUUGGCUUGUUCGGAGGGGGGCUUACGUUUUCACACAAACUUUGUAUGCAGUGUAGAAUGUAUUUUUUGUUUUUGCGAUCACGCAAUCAAUACAACUUUCAACAACGGAUCUCUUGGCUCUC